CCCCUUGAGUUCCCGGAUCGCCGCCCCUAUCUCUGAGAUGUCGCGCAAGCGACUAUGGACAUAAACGCGCUCGUAAUAAGCGGAUCGGACCCGGGGGCGGUACCCGGCGGCUCCACCAAAAAUCCUUCGUUUGGGGAUCAUGGGGCCGAAAUAGGAUCGACGAACGUCUAAAGGGGUUUGCUUUGUCCCGGUGAGUUACCACCGUUAUCGGUACAAAAAAGCUAGUUGCAAACGACAACAAAGCUCCGAUGGCCCUCGCUGCGUAAGCAGUGCGGAACAUCGAAAUCUAAGCCCUUGGGCCUAGCAGCUUAAGGCGGGGUUCGCAGGCACCUGGCAACAGAAGCCUGCACU
rfam:Roseisalinus antarcticus strain CECT 7023 genome assembly, contig: 0024